UACGUAGGGUGCGAGCGUUAAUCGGAAUUACUGGGCGUAAAGGGUGCGCAGGCGGUUAUAUAAGACAGAUGUGAAAUCCCCGGGCUCAACCUGGGAAUUGCGAUGAAGACUGCAAGGCUUGAAUCUGGCAGAGGGGGGUAGAAGUUCCACGUGUAGCAGUGAAAUGCGUAGAGAUGUGGAGGAACACCGAUGGCGAAGGCAGCCCCCUGGGUCAAGAUUGACGCUCAUGCACGAAAGCGUGGGGAGCAAACAGG
rnacentral:rRNA from 1 species